CCACAACAGUGGCUGCUGCCAAUGUCCCAGUCCCUGGAGAGGUCUCACCUCUCACUGAGAUGCACCCAGGGCCUAUUAGGAAAACACCAAGGCCUACCUGUGAACGUAAUGAAGCUUCUAGCAACACCAAGUUCUAGCUGACAGUACCAGAGAAGCUCCUGGAUGUCAGAAAGCCUACUCAAGAAUGACGAUAUUGAUGGAGAACUCUUCAUAUGUGAGCAGAGAGCAACACGUGGAAGGCUUCACUUUUGGUGACGCAGGCUGAGAGUAGAAAGGCUGGCCUCAGCCAUGCCUCUGAUAGACAAAUAAAGAGAAAUUUAGGGGUGUCAACAUCCAUUCUUGAAACUGUAGAUUUCCCUGGGCAGAUAAUUUAAUUUCUCAAGUUUUUUAAAUAUAAAAAUAAAUAAGUCAUAAUCGU